GAAAUGCGAUAAGUAGUGUGAAUUGCAGAAUUCAGUGAAUCAUCGAAUCUUUGAACGCACAUUGCGCCCCUUGGUAUUCCAUGGGGCAUGCCUGUUCGAGCGUCAUUUGUACCCUCAAGCUCUGCUGGGUGUUGGGUGUUUGUCCCGUCUCCGCGCGUGGACUCGCCCCAAAGUGAUUGGCAGCCGGCGUACUGGUCCCGGAGCGCAGCACAUGUCGCGCAAACGAGUGCCUUGGUACGGCGGCGUCCAUAAGCCCCUCUCUCACGCUCUUGACCUCGGAUCAGGUAGGGAUACCCGCUGAACUUAAGC
rnacentral:misc_RNA from 1 species